rnacentral:rRNA from 1 species
UACGUAGGGACCAAGCGUUGUUCGGAUUUACUGGGCGUAAAGGGCGCGUAGGCGGCGUGGUAAGUCACUUGUGAAAUCUCCGAGCUUAACUCGGAACGGUCAAGCGAUACUGCUGUGCUAGAGUGCAGAAGGGGCAAUCGGAAUUCUUGGUGUAGCGGUGAAAUGCGUAGAUAUCAAGAGGAACACCUGAGGUGAAGACGGGUUGCUGGGCUGACACUGACGCUGAGGCGCGAAAGCUAGGGUAGCAAACGGG